rnacentral:rRNA from 1 species
AUGAAUGCAUAUUGUAAACACCUACAACACCGUGAUUUUUCUGAUCGUUACAUAUCAACAACGUGGUUCCCCAAGUUUAUGUUCAGUAGGGCAAGGGGAAAGACCAAGUCAGUAAAUGAUUUAGACUCAGAACAUGUUACAAAGAAAACAAAAGUCCUCGCAAGAGUAAUGGAUGAGUAUUUCAGACGGGACAAGGCGUAUUUUCCUAUGCACGUUAAUGAUAAUCAUUGGAUAACCAUAGCGAUGCACACCGUCAAGGAGGAGUUUCAAGUUCUUGACUCAAAUUCUAAAGGCGCAAUUAGCCAAAGAAUUCGCAAUAUGAUUGCCACCCUGGCCAACUCAACUCUUGAAGAAAAAAAAAUUCCAGAUGUCUCAUCGUGGCCAAUUAAUGAGUAUAAAAUGCCGAGACAAAAAGAUGGAGUGUCUUGUGGACUUUUUGUGAUGUGGUGCAUAAAAUACUGGGACGGAGAUCGCUGGACACAUGAAUUUGACCAGGAAGAGAUUAAUGCGUCAAGGCCACGUAUUGUCACGAAAAUUAUUUUUUCAGAGGUGAACAAAUUAGAGAAGGUCAAGAUGAAAAUUGUUAAAAUCAUGAAGAAGGAAUAG